GAAGGUAUAGCUCACGUGGUAGAGUGCAUGCUUAGCAUGCAUAGUGUUCUGGGUUCAAUCCCCAGUACCUCUU
rnacentral:tRNA from 1 species